UACGAAGGGGGAGCUAGCGUUGUUCGGAUUUACUGGGCGUAAAGCGCACGUAGGCGGAUCGUUAAGUCGGGGGUGAAAUCCUGGAGCUCAACUCCAGAACUGCCUUCGAUACUGGCGAUCUUGAGUCCGGAAGAGGUGAGUGGAACUCCUAGUGUAGAGGUGGAAUUCGUAGAUAUUAGGAAGAACACCAGUGGCGAAGGCGGCUCACUGGUCCGGUACUGACGCUGAGGUGCGAAAGCGUGGGGAGCAAACAGG
rnacentral:rRNA from 1 species